UAGAGAAUUUCUUUUCCUUUUUCUUUUCUUUUCUCUCUUUUUUUUUUUUUUGAGACAGGGUCUCCCUCUCUUGCCCAGGCUGGAGUGCAGUGGUGCGAUCAUGGCUCGCUACAGCUUCAACCUCCCAGCCUCGAGCAAUCCUCCCACCUCAGCCACCUGAGUAGCUGGGAUUACAGAUGUAUGCCACCAAGUCCAGCUAAUUUUUGUAUUUUUUUUAGAAUUAGAAACGGAUUUUAUUUCUUGUUCUUCAAUAUAGUAAUUGGUGACCUUGAGAAAUGCCAUUUAACCUUUUCAUGUCUCAAUUUUCUCAUCUAUAAAUAGAUAUAAUCAUCACAAAGACCCGCUGUGAGCAAUAGAUGAGAUAAUCUUGAGAGCUCUAAAGCUCUACAUAUAACAGAAAGGCAUUAUUGGGAUUAGGGCAGAGGAUCUGCAGCUCUGCUGUUGCCUUGAACAAUUUCCAUGAUUCUGUGACUCACUUUUACUACCUGCAAAAUAGACACCGGAAGGCGUCUCUCCAGUUUUCCUUAGAAGGCAGAGUCUGUAUAAGAGAAAAAAGCUGAUUUCAGGGUCCAGCAGAUUUAAUUAGCUGCACAACCAUGGGCCAACUCUCGAGUGUUAGAGAGGAUAAUGAUGACUACCUCACAGGGUUGUGAGAAUCAAAUGUCUUAAAGGAGAACAGUGCUUAGUAAAUAGCUAACAGUGCUCAGCCUGUACAAUUGUUAGAAUCAAUAUUGGGUUUCCACUGAAAAUUACCAUGGGGUUACCUUGCCGUUUACUGCCUAGGUCCAGUCAUUUCUGAAUAAGAUUAGUUGCUAUGGUUACCUUCCCAAAACACCACAGUUGAAAACGUGUUGGAGAUGGGAAUCGAUGGUAGGAGGCUUUAGCGGAGGACACAAAGCAACUUCAGCCACUGAGACAUUUUAAUACAUGUAAACUCCUUCCCUUGGAAACCUAAGUCACAUUUUGCCAAAAUGGAAAUGAACUCAGGAAGUGGACUUUCAGAAGUUCUGCAUUUGGCCAGCCUCCUUCCCCCAUCACCAGGCCCUCAAGGACAGGUGCGUUCUGGCCCUGAACCAGCUCCAGAGCAUCUCAGUUUCUUACCCCAGGAUCUGGCAGUUGGAAAGAUGUUGGUUGCCAGGCAGAAUUCAUCAGAUUCACUUCCCAGAUGCUAUCGCUUCUGAUGCCGAAAGAAAAAUAGGUUGCCCAGCAAUUGAGGUUGGAAAGGACAGGUGUAGCUGAGAAAUGCACAGUGUUGCACAGAAAACAAUAAUGGGUUAUUUUUGUUAAAAUUCAU
rnacentral:lncRNA from 10 species